rnacentral:lncRNA from 1 species
UCCUCCUGGGAUACGGAAGGCACCGUGAUAGACAUCUGGGCAAGUCAACAGGAAGGUGGAUAUCCAAAUCUCUCUCUUCGCAAUGAGUUUCCAGUUAGAUGGAGGAGAGAGUAAUAAAACACAGAGCUGAGAUUCCUGACUUCACAGAUCCCUGAGGAGAUGUUUACUAAAGGGAAUCUUCUGGUCACUGUUACCUUCCUCCGUACUUACCUGCCUCAUGGAUAACACUGAAGAAUGCAGUUUACUUACAUCUUUUUCUGUUUGACAGAAGACAGUUAUUAGUUACCCUUGGGACAUCAAAAUGACCAAGGCAGUGUCUGCUAAGUAUUUGCUGAGACUCUGCUAUGAUUCUUUCAAGUCUAAAGACAGUUAUCUGAAUGAUAUCCCCGUGACAGUGGACUCCUGCACAUUCACAGUCCUGGAAGGAGCCUGUCCACAUUGGCAUUCUGGAAGUCCAUAAAAGACAAACGCAUAUGCAGUCCCCGAGAAAGCAUUGUUGUAAACAAAUCUGCACUAGAUGGAAACUCUGUUAUGUGGUGCCGGCAUGCAUGGAAGAGAACCCGAAAGGAAGAAGCUAUACGACUGGGGACACAUGUCUUAGAAGCACACUCAUUAGAUAAAGUGUCGCAUACUCUUUGAUAAGGUAAGGCUCCCUGGACGAGAUGUUUUACAGGUACCAUGAGCUCAGUGAAUUGCUUUUGGAAAGACACUCAGCGGAGUGGGCACCACGAGGUUAGGAGAAGCAGCUUCUGCUCGUCAUAACUUUGGCAAAUGUUUACACAUCAGUAAUGAAAAAUAUUCUCUUGGCGAUUUCAGGCUUGUUACUAUGGAUGUUGUUUGCUAACAUUGACUAUUUUUCCUAACUGCUUAUAGAAACUCCAGGCUGUCACCCAUCUGUUCUCUCAUCAAAGUAGUUUUGGGCCAGCAACUAUUUCAGACAUUUCUACAGUUUCAGAUGUCUCACUCUGCCUAUGACUGUAUGUUGUACUUGAGGACUGGACGCACAGGGUAAAGUGCAAAUAGCAAGCAUUCAGGUCCAACUCUCCUCCUUCUGGUUAACAAUAUGAAAGAAAGAGGUAGUAUCGGAAUUAUUUUAGUUCAAUGUAGCCAUUAUAAAAUGUGUAUAUAUUUUAAAACAUCAUGUGGUACAUGAUAAAUAUAUACAACUUUUAUUUUUCAAUAAAAAAUUAUAAAAAAA